rnacentral:rRNA from 1 species
UACGAAGGGUGCAAACGUUGCUCGGAAUUAUUGGGCGUAAAGCGCACGUAGGCGGCUUUGCAAGUCGGAUGUGAAAUCCCUCGGCUCAACCAAGGAAGUGCAUCCGAAACUGCAGAGCUUGAGUACUUAAGAGGAUCGCGGAAUUCCCGGUGUAGAGGUGAAAUUCGUAGAUAUUCGCAAGAACACCAGUGGCGAAGGCAGCUCACUGGCCCGAUACUGACGCUGAGGCACGAAAGCGUGGGGAGCAAACAGG